rfam:Gossypium raimondii Chr08_contig_852, whole genome shotgun sequence.
UGUUAAAAAAUUCAUCUAUUUCUACAGUUAAGAAUUGACGUGAUCGACAAAAUAACCAUAAACUUACAUGCGACGUGCCAUGUGUACCUCAUUCUGACAUACAAAGAUCAAUUUUUAACAAUAGAAACAAGUUGUUCUUUAUUC